rnacentral:rRNA from 1 species
GACGAACGCUGGCGGCGUGCUUAACACAUGCAAGUCGAACGAUGAAGCACCAGCUUGCUGGUGUGGAUUAGUGGCGAACGGGUGAGUAACACGUGAGUAACCUGCCCCUCACUCUGGGAUAAGCCUGGGAAACUGGGUCUCAUACUGGAUACGACCGAUCUCCGCAUGGAGUGUUGGUGGAAAGUUUUUGUGGUGGGGGAUGGACUCGCGGCCUAUCAGCUUGUUGGUGGGGUAGUGGCCUACCAAGGCGACGACGGGUAGCCGGCCUGAGAGGGGGACCGGCCACCCUGGGACUGAGACACGGCCCAGACUCCUACGGGAGGCAGCAGUGGGGAAUAUUGCACAAUGGGCGAAAGCCUGAUGCAGCGACGCCGCGUGAGGGAUGACGGCCUUCGGGUUGUAAACCUCUUUCACCAGGGACGAAGCUAACGUGACGGUACCUGGAGAAGAAGCACCGGCUAACUACGUG